GGACGGGUGAGUAACACGUGGGUAACCUACCUAUAAGACUGGGAUAACUUCGGGAAACCGGAGCUAAUACCGGAUAACAUUUGGAACCGCAUGGUUCUAAAGUGAAAGAUGGUUUUGCUAUCACUUAUAGAUGGACCCGCGCCGUAUUAGCUAGUUGGUAAGGUAACGGCUUACCAAGGCGACGAUACGUAGCCGACCUGAGAGGGUGAUCGGCCACACUGGAACUGAGACACGGUCCAGACUCCUACGGGAGGCAGCAGUAGGGAAUCUUCCGCAAUGGGCGAAAGCCUGACGGAGCAACGCCGCGUGAGUGAUGAAGGGUUUCGGCUCGUAAAACUCUGUUAUUAGGGAAGAACAAACGUGUAAGUAACUGUGCACGUCUUGACGGUACCUAAUCAGAAAGCCACGGCUAACUACGUGCCAGCAGCCGCGGUAAUACGUAGGUGGCAAGCGUUAUCCGGAAUUAUUGGGCGUAAAGCGCGCGUAGGCGGUUUCUUAAGUCUGAUGUGAAAGCCCACGGCUCAACCGUGGAGGGUCAUUGGAAACUGGGAAACUUGAGUGCAGAAGAGGAAAGUGGAAUUCCAUGUGUAGCGGUGAAAUGCGCAGAGAUAUGGAGGAACACCAGUGGCGAAGGCGACUUUCUGGUCUGUAACUGACGCUGAUGUGCGAAAGCGUGGGGAUCAAACAGGAUUAGAUACCCU
rnacentral:rRNA from 1 species